UUGUAGGUUUUGAAAGAUUCAGAUUCCCUCUCACUUUCUUCGGUGCCUCCAGAUGUUAGGAAUUGGUUCUCUAGUUAUGAAUACGAAUCUCCAGCAAUUAAUACCAGCUACGAGUUCAGUUCACAGCCUCCUGGAAAUGUGUUUGAUGAAGAAUGUAUCACAGGGAAAGAAGACAAAUUGAUUAGGGCAACUAAGGCAGUUCAAAAGAAUGAUUUGGAAGGUCAGAAAACUUCUUUUGGGCUUGUCAAAUGUACCAACUCUGGCAGAAAAAAGGAGUAUGAGCACCACUCCUUCCCUAAGGAUAUACUAAAGGCUGAUGGAGAGAAAAACUCAGCUAUACUAAAUGACUUGACUCCUCAAAGGCGUUCAUGUCAAAUUCUGCCCUUG